rnacentral:lncRNA from 1 species
CACCCAUCAUCCUAGGGAGGCCAUUCCUGAACAUCUCGGGAGGUAUCAUCUACGCUAGUGCUGUCAAGAUCAGUGUCUACAUCAAGGGAAGGAAGGAGACAUUUUCCUUCAAGAACAAGACUAUACAAAUCUCAGAGCAAUCCCAACAUUGACCAAGGAAGAGGACCAACAGGAGGAACAAGAACAAGCAAAUGUGUACCGAGUCAGCUAAGAUGGUUACUGCAGCUCAAGGAGGUCAAGAUCGUCAACUCAAGUCACCUUUCUUGAUCAAGAAGGACGACCCUGGUGUUCCAAGCAUCGAGUGCACAAUCAACGGAUAUUCUUUUCAGAAGACACUCUACGACACCGGAUCUAACGUCAACAUAAUGGCCGCAGUCACUUAUCAGCUCCUGCAUGGAACCAUGUCCCUACAACCAACAUACAUUCAGCUCCAGAUGGCAGAUCAGACAUUCUGAAAGAUUGAAGGUUAUUGAUAUGGGAGAAGACGAGUACGAUCCACCCAUCAUCCUUGGAAGACCGUUCUUUAGCACCAGUAAAGCAAUCAUAUACAUUGGAACCAGAGAAGUCCACAUACACUUCCCCUCAGAGAAGGUACGCCACUGUUUUACUGACCCUAACUAUAUAGUUGAAGACUCUAAGCAGGUCAGGACAAGAAGACGACGACGCAACCGCAACUAGAGGAGGCAAAUCAUCAAGGACGGAUGGGUAGACUAUGAAGGAGAAGUUGUACGGUCUGAAGACAUACAAGUUGAACAGAACUGUCCUGAGGAGACCGUAGCACCGAGUCAGGUGUGGAAAGAGAAGAUAGUUAUACACGAAGAGGAAGCACCGUCGGAACCACCGACUACGCCAUCCAGCGAAUCCCAGAAUGACUGAGAAAAUUGGAGAGUCCCGUUCGGAGGACUUAAAAACACCGAACGCCUUGCCAAGAGGUAAACUUGGUAGUUAUUUUUUUUCUUUCAAUUAUUUAAAAUAGUUUGCUUAGUUAAUCAGGUUCAUAUCAUCUUGAAAAGAAAAUAAAAAUGUUAAAAAUAGUAAGCCCCAUGUGAGUAUGCUCAUGGCAUAAAACCCAUAAGUACAUUCACUGUGGUGGCAUAAAAAAAUAAAAUAAAUAUAUUCCUAUCCUAUAAAAAUGAAAAUAUAAAAAUAAAUUUAUGAUCCUACCAAAGAAAGUAAUAUUUAUUGAGGAGGCUCAACAUGAUAAAGGCUAGAUAUUUAUGCUAACACUUAACUAGUUCCACAAAGCUUUGUUGUCUAUUUGAGCUCCACAGAAUUCAAGGAUCAAAGAAGACUAGCAGACGGAGGACAUCCUAAUCGCUGUCAGGGUGCUGCCACAUUCAAAUACACCUCCGCCACCUGCUAGCUACAUCAGAAGGAAUUACGUCAAAACCCAGCUUUGGGGAGAGCAACCCCAUUUAUCCAGCUAAGUGCUCUACUUAUGUUUAUACUUUACUUAAAUAAUAAAAAAGAUGCACAAUCAUAAAAACCCAAAUAAAGAUUUUGUGCUUAUAUAUAUAUAUAUAUCUUUGCUUAGUUUGCUAAAUAAAUAAAUAAAUAAAAUUUGCUAUGAAUCCUCAUGAUAAGCUCUCACAUGGAAAGAUGAAUAGUUGCUCUGCCAUGACUAGUUCUCAAAAUUGAAAUCUCUCUCAAGUUUAGGCAUCACUGUUAUUAAUUAAGAUUUGCUCUAAACCUGAACUUGUGGGAAGAGUACUUGAUCUAAAGUCUAAGUCGUUAACGGAUAUGAUAUGGGAAGGUUGAGCUGCUGUUUAUCUGUUCCUAGAGAUGCUAGAAUUCUGGAGAAUUUUAUCUUUGAAAAUCUUUAAAAUAUUACAUGAUGAGUUCCUAUAUAAUGAGAGUUUAAAUUCCUACCACAGCCAUAUAUACAUGCUUGCUAGACUUUGAGCCACACAUUUACUUUUUACUGCUUAUGAGCAUUGAGUGUGGUCAAGCUGUGUAGACCCUUAGGAGCUUGUCAUGUGGUUAAGUCAAGAUUCACUUGCACGUUCACUCAUACAUGCUGCUUCUACUCUGGAAGUACGCAUCCACACACAUCCACUCAUUUCCAUCUCCAGAGCCACCUAAAAAUAUUCUACUCCUAAUCCGGGAGAGAAUAGCCAAAAACAUUUCUGUUUUUCCCCUGUGAAAUAAAUGCUCAAGUUAUCUUGGUUACUACCACUUGCUAUAUUAUUUCAGGAGAUGAGUGCUCUAAUAUAAAAAAAGAGAGAAAAAAAUAAAUACGAGGAAAUAAAAAGGGGCAAGUGCCCGGAACCUCGAAAGAAAAGAAAAAAAAGUGAGACGAGAGGUAAAAAUGGACAAGUGUCCGACAGUAGAAUUAGGGGUACAAGAUACCCACCUGAGAGAAAAGAAAAAGAAAAUAUAGAGCAUCUCAUUCUCCUCAAAAAGUUUCAAAAGAGCAAGAAAGGUAUGUACCCCCUCAAAAGAGCACAAGUAGAAUUAGACUUUCACUAUUGUUAUUACCAUCAUCACCAUACAUCAUUCAUUCGCCACACAUGCACAUCUUGAUUUGACUUAUUGACUUGUUCUUCUAGAUCCAUGGUUUGACUAUGCAAUAAAUGUCUUGUAAGUAUGUAUUAGCUGUCUCCCACCUAUGAGCUCCAGAUAUCAAAAGCCUUAUUAGAGUAGGGUGAGAGAGAAGGCAAUGCCACUAUGCCUUAUACCACAACUACCACAUACUUUGAGAGAAGGCAUACACCAUUCAUGCCUUGGUAAGGAUCCAGAAAUACCACAAAAGAGAGACUAGAGAGAGUCAUACAAGGAAUGUCUGAGUUUUAUUUGAAAAUCUGCAAAAACUCUAGAGCUAUAGUUGAUCAAGAAUAAGAGACAUGGUGCUUGACUAGACCGUUCUAUCUUUUAACUACUCAAGACAGAAGUGACGGUUACAAGUCCCAUGUGUUGGGUAUUUUAAACGCAAACAGAAAAAUCCGCAAGCGCACGGAUACCGAUGUAGCCUUCACCCGGGAGUAUUCCAGAGUAUCGAUUUUCCACAGGGAACGUGAGUGUACUAAUUAAGAAUCAAGAUCGCCCAAGGAUAACUAUAUAAGUAUUUUUGGUGGGAAGAGAGGAAGUUUCCUGAGAGUUCUCUAGUUGAUCUAAGAAUCAAGAAUUACUUCAAGAUUAUCUAUAUCGGGACAUCAGAGCACUAACCACAGAAAGAGAUGAGAAGGGGGCUAGGAAGGUCUGACUACGGUCCUACAAACACCGAUCCGAACGUGGUGGAAUACGUCGACCGUUAGGGCUGUCACUACCCUAAGGCUACCACAACAAUCCGUAGGAUUGGGUGCAAUUCCAGGUAAUUGCAAGACUAAACACCACGUCUAAUCUAUUAAUUACUACUCUAGCGUUAUAAAGACUAGAGCACUUGAUGCAAGUGGGAAUCCAAUAAAUAACUUGAAUAUAAAUAAAAGUAAUUAGAGAACUCAGGAUUAUGAAUUGAAGAACCUGGAGAACGAUGAAGAACGAACCAGAUGCUGCAAAAGUAUAAUGUUGAGGAAGAUCCGACAGAUUCGGCUCCUCCUCCGCUCUCCUCUUCUCUCUUCCUAUUUUCUAGAUUACAACUAGAACUAACUAGAACUAGAACUAGAGGAACUAGAACUAGAACUAGAUGAACUAGAACUAGAUCUAGAUGAACUAGAGGUAGAACUAGAAGAACUAGAGGGAUCCUCUCUACUUGGAUGAAGAAUUGAAACCCUAGCUUUGAUUCUGUAGAAGAGGUAUGAUCUCCAGGGGCCAGGGGGGUCUGGUUUUAUAGUCCCUUCAAGUGAAUUUGGGCCGUCGGAUCAAACCGACAUUGAUCGUGUGGUUUUCCUUGAAGUAUUAGGUCGGUGGAGCAAGAUCCCCGAACUUCACCCUGAUUGGUCCAGGGGGGAGGGCGGGCGCCCUCAGGACUAGGGCGGGCGCCCUGUCCCUGAGGCCUCUCGGCUUCCGCUUCAGUCCCGUGGCUUCUGGAGUCUUCUAGAUGAUAGAAAAUUGCACGGCACGUUAAUAUCUCUAUGUAAACCCGACGUGUGGGCCUUUCCUCCAUAUUUCCUGAUAACCCCCUGCAGAAAUAGACAAACACCAAAACUCGUGGAAUUCUGUCAGAUAAAACCCUAAGUCUAGGUGUUGGUUGCAUUUGGAUCCUUUUCUAUGAUUAAUUGAUGGUUAAAUGUGAGCAUUAAGGACCGUCAACAAGCUCCCCCAAGCUUAACCUUUGCUCGUCCCUGAGCAAAGAUGAACUCAAGAGUUUCUGCAGUGGUUUAAUAACUUAAAGAUACAUGCGUUUAAACAAGAUCUCAUCUCUGGUUAGAGUAAACAGUUAAGACUUAAAACUUACUCAUUUACCUUUCACCAUGGGACUUGUAACCGUCACUUGUGUCUUGAGCAGUUAAAAGAUAGAACAGUCUAGUCAAGCGUCAUGUCUCUUGUUCUUCGAUUAACUAUAGCUCUGGAGUUUUUGCAGAUUUUCAAAUAAAACUCAGAGAUUCCUUGUAUGACUCUCUCUAGUCUCUCUUUUGUGGUAUUUCUGGAUCCUUACCAAGGCAAUAAUGGUGUAUGCCUUCUCUCAAAGUAUGUAGUAUUUUUGGUAUGGGGCAUAGUGGCAUUGCCUUCUCUCUCACCCUACUCUAAUAAGGUUUUGAUAUCUGGAGCUCAUAGGUGGGAGACAGCUAAUACAUACUUACAAGACAUUUAUUGCAUCGUCAAACCAUGGAUCCAGAAGAACAAGUCAAUAAGUCAAAUCAAGAUGUGCAUGUGUGGCGAAUGAAUGGUGUAUGGUAAUGAUGGUGAUAACAAUGGUGAAAGUCUAAUUCUACUUGUGCUCUUUUGAGGGGAUACAUACCUUUCUUGCACUUUGAAACUUUUUGAGGAGAAUGAGAUGCUCUAUAUUUUCUUUUUUCUUUUCUCUCAGGUGGGUAUCUUGUACCCCUAAUUCUACUGUCGGACACUUGUCCAUUUUUACCUCUCGUCUCACUUUUUUUUCUCCGAGCUUUCGGGCACUUGCCCCUUUUUAUUUCCUCAUAUUUUUCUCUCUUUUUUUUAGAGCACUCAUCUCAUGAGAUAAUGUAGCAAGUGGUAGUAACAAGAUAACUUGAGCAUUUAUUUCACAGGGGAAAACAGAAAUGUUUUUGGCUAUUCUCUCCGGGAUUAGGAGUAGAAUAUUUUUAGGUGAUUCUGGAGAUGGAAAUGGGUGGAUAUAUGUGGAUGGUACUUCCGGAGUAGAAGUAGCAUGUGUGAGUGAACGUGCAAAUGAAUCUUGAUUUAACCACAUGACAAGCUCCUAAGGGUCUACACAGCUUGACCACACUCAAUGCUCAUAAGCAGUAAAAAGUAAAUGUCUGGCUCAAAGUCUAGCAAGCAUGUAUAUAUGGCUGUGGUAGGAAUUUAAACUCUCAUCAUACUGGAACUCAUCAUGCAACAUUUUAAAGUUUUUUUUCAAAGAUAAAAUUCUCCAGAAUUCUAGCAUUUCUAGGAACAGAUAAACAACAGCUCAACCUUCCCAUAUCACAUCCGUUAAUGACUUAGACUUCAGAUCAAGUACUCUUCCCACAAGUUCAGGUUUAGAGCAAAUCUUAAUUAAUACCAGUCAUGCCUAAACUUGAGAGAGAUUUCAAUUUAAGAACUAGUCAUAGCAGAGUAACUAUUCAUCAUUUCCAUGUGAGAGAUUAUCAUGAGGGUUCAUAGCAAACUUUAUUUAUUUAUUUAUUUAGCAAACUAAGCAAAGAUAUAUAUAUAUAUAUAAGCACAAAAUGUUUAUUUGGGUUUAUAUGAUUAUGCAUCUUUUUAUUAUUAGAGUAAAGUAUAAACAUGAGUAGAAUACUUAGCUGGAUAAAUGGGGGUGCUCUCCCCCAAGCUGGAUUUUGACGUAGUUUCUUCUAAUGUAGCUAGCAAGUGGUGGAGGUGUAUUUGAAUGUCAGCAGCACCCUGACAGUGAUUAGGAUGUCCUCCGUCUGCUAGUCUUCUUUGAUCCUUGAAUUCUGUGGAGCUUAAAUAGACAACAAAGCUUUGUGGAACUGGUUAAGUGUUAGCAUAAAUACCUAGCCUUUAUCAUGUUGAGCCUCCUCAAUAAAUGUCUUUAUUUAGAUCAUAAAUUUAUUUUUAUAUUUUCAUUUUUAUAGGACAGGAAUAUAUUUAUUUUAAUUUUACGCCACCACAGUGAAUGUACUUAUGGAUUUUAUGCCAUGAGCAUACUCACAUGGGGCUUACUAUCUUCAACAUUUUUAUUUUCUUUUCAAGAUGAUGUGAACCUGAUUAACUAAGGAAACUAUUUUAAAUAAUUGAAAGAAAAAAGAUAACUACCAAGUUUACCACUUGGCAAGGCGUUCGGUGUUUUUAAGUCCUCCGAACAGGACUCUCCGUUUCCUGAGUCAUUCUAGGAUUCGCUGGAUGGCGUAGUCGGUGGUUCCGAUAGUGCUUCCUCUUCGUGUAUAACUAUCUUCUCUUUCCACACCUGACUCGGUGCUACGGUCUCCUCAGGACAGUUCUGUUCAAGUUGUAUGUCUUCAGACCUUACAACUUCUCCUUCAUAGUCUACCCAUCCGUCCUUGAUGAUUUGCCUCCUCUGGUUGCGGUUGCAUCAUCGUCUUCUUGUCCUAACCUGCUUAGAGUCUUCAACUAUAUAGUUAGGGUCAGUAAAACAGUGGCGUACCUUCUCUGAGGGGAAGUGCAUGUGGACUUCUCUGGUUCCAAUGUAGAUGAUUGCUUUAACGGUGCUGAGGAAUGGUCUUCCAAGGAUGACAGGUGGAUUGUACUCGUCUUCUCCCAUGACAAUAACCUUACGGAAUGUCUAAUCUGCCAUCUGGAGCUGGUGUCGCAAAGCGUCUUCUGGAAGUUGUAUAUGUUGAUUGUGCACUUGAUGCCUAGAACACCAGGGUCGUCCUUCUUGAUCAAGAAAGACGACUUGAGUUGACGAUCUUGACCUUCUUGAGCUGCAGUGACAAUCUUAGCUGACUCAGUCCACAUUUGCUUGUUUCUUUCUGUUCCUCAUGUUUGUCCUCUUCCUUGGUUCAUGUCGGGAUUGCUCUAAGAUUUGUGUAGUCUUGUUCUUGAAGGAAAACGUCUCCGUCCUUCCCUUGAUGUAGAAACUGAUCUUGGCAGCACUAGCGUAGAUGACAGCUCCCGAGGUGUUCAGGAAUGGCCUCCCUAGGAUGGGUGCUCUCUCAUCAGUACCAGUCUCUAUCACCACGAAGUCUGCUGGGGCGUACAAGGUACCAACUCGGACGAAGAGGUUGUUCAAUAUUCUCUUUGGGAAACUUAGCGUACGAUCUGCAAGCUGCAAACACAUGGUUGUUUCUAGGAAAGGAUGUGUAAAGAAUUUUUCAUAGAGUACCCUGGGCAUAAUGUUGACGCUGGAGCCAAUGUCACAGAGUGCUUCUGGGAAGUCCACCAUGCCGAUGGAGAUCGGGAUGACAGGGCGUCCUGGAUCGCCUCUCUUGACCGGCAGAAGGUCAGUAAUUACUUCCACGGGUUACUCCAGUAGCUACGUCCUCAAGCAUCUCAGGGCAGUGAUUGCCUGAGUAUCCAGUCUCUCCAGUGUGUUUGUGCUCGUAGAUCUAGGUUCUUCACUUGGUGGAGUCUGGGAGUUGUAAAAGUCCUUCAUAUUUUGCUCGAAGUGUACCUGCUCAUAGAGACAAGGCAGAGAUCAAGUGCAUGGGCCCUGUUGGUGGAAAACACCAACAGAACCAAAAGUGUAUUUGUUCUUCUCUAACCUUAAGCAUAGUGAGCAAGACAAAGUUGAUGGAUAAUAAGAUCAUGAGUAUAACAUUUAAAACACUUGUCAGAUCAAAUCGCUCAACCUAAUGGAAAGAUAAUCUAUCUAUAUUUAUGUUGUUUUUUUAUAAAAUAUAUCUUCCAAAGAUUGAGUGUGCAACAUUUAGUGUGGGAUCACAAAGGUGAAAGGACUAAACAUAUUGAAUCGAUUGGGUUGGUUAAUCUAGAAUUGUAAAUCAUACAUGUUUGUCUCUUUUAUUCAUGUGAAUGCCAGAACCAAGGAGAAGCUUAUAGAAGUGAUAGUCAAGUACCUUAAGAUGUUACCUUACUUGAAGAGUGAUGGUACAGUAUCACCUUGUGGAAGCUUUCCUCUCUUAGCGGUUGUCACCCUCCAUGGAUCAUCUCUUGUGAGCUAUGCCUUCCUUGUGUAAAUUGUUAAACUUCAUGUGUCUCUCUCUUUAUCUCUAAUGUGAGUUUAUCUCAGGACUUCCCAGGUCGAUAUUAAAAGUUUUCCUGCAGGGGUUAGUCCAACAAAAUAUCCAAUAUCUACUAUAGCAUACUAUCGGCUCAAAGAUCAACCUAGACACCAUGUCUAAUUUGAUUAGGAGGGCAUUUUAACCUAAGCAUCAUGCUUAAUUUAAACUCCCUUGGAAGUAAGAUCAUCAGCCCUAAACUAAGCACCAUGCUUAAUUAAGAGAUAAAUGAAACUACUCCAAACCUAGACAUAUACUAAAGCAAAUAAAGGUAGCAUGAGAGCAUUUAUAGAGAUCUACUCAAGUGGAGAUGAAGUAGUGUGAUUAGUCUUUAACAAAUUGAGCAUGUCUCAAAGGUAGGGACAACCAACAUAGCAACAUGGCAAAGGAUGUUUUUAUGUAAAGUACUCCCCCAAGCUUGAAUUUUGCAAAAUUCAAGUUUGGAUGAGUUUAAUUCAAUGUUGUAUGAUGAUUGGUUGGACAUACCUUGUGCUUGUCAUUCAUCUGAUCUUCUUGCUCCAAUCCUGGAAAGGUUAGUGACAAAAAUACCUGAAGGAAAAUUUUUUUUUUACAAUUAUCCUUAUAUGCUCAAUACAUAAGGUAAUGUUGCAAAUAAUUAAAAGCUCAUGUUAUGAUCUGAUCAGUGCAUAUUUUAGGACACUAAGCUUGUCCUUGGGAAACCCUCAAUUCAUGUCGGCGAAGUGGUUUCCCCUCCAACGCUGACCUAUAUCAAGAUCAACUCAACGAGAUCUGCAAAAUUUAUUAUAGACAUAUGCAUCGACAACUGCCCUUUUAAAGUUUUUAUAAAUAGAAAGGAAGUGGGGGUUGGAGAUCUCGAAUGUGGUGAUGUUGGAGAGACCAAUGGAUUGUGAAGAUGUUGCAUAUGAGCAUGGAGUAAAUGAAGUGGCUAUGAAAUAAAUUCCAUGCUCAUUAAUGCUUAGCGUGAAAUCCAUGUGGUAUGGUGAAAAUGAUAAGGUGAGUGUGGUAAAAAAAGGGAAAGAAAAAGGAUACACGGACGACUUGGUUCGAAACUAGCACAGCUACCGUUCCCCGGCAAUGGCGCCAGAAAGCUUGUUGGGUAUUUUAAACGCAAACAGAAAAAUCCGCAAACGCACGGAUACCGAUGUAGCCUUCACCCGGGAGUAUUCCAGAGUAUCGAUUUUCCACAGGGAACGUGAGUGUACUAAUUAAGAAUCAAGAUCGCCCAAGGAUAACUAUAUAAGUAUUUUUGGUGGGAAGAGAGGAAGUUUCCUGAGAGUUCUCUAGUUGAUCUAAGAAUCAAGAAUUACUUCAAGAUUAUCUAUAUCGGGACAUCAGAGCACUAACCACAGAAAGAGAUGAGAAGGGGGCUAGGAAGGUCUGACUACGGUCCUACAAACACUGAUCCGAACGUGGUGGAAUACGUCGACCGUUAGGGCUGUCACUACCCUAAGGCUACCACAACAAUCCGUAGGAUUGGGUGCAAUUCCAGGUAAUUGCAAGACUAAACACCACGUCUAAUCUAUUAAUUACUACUCUAGCGUUAUAAAGACUAGAGCACUUGAUGCAAGCGGGAAUCCAAUAAAUAACUUGAAUGUAAAUAAAAGUAAUUAGAGAACUCAGGAUUAUGAAUUGAAGAACCUGGAGAACGAUGAAGAACGAACCAGAUGCUGCAAAAGUAUAAUGUUGAGGAAGAUCCGACAGAUUCGGCUCCUCCUCCGCUCUCCUCUUCUCUCUUCCUAUUUUCUAGAUUACAACAAGAACUAACUAAAACUAGAACUAGAGGAACUAGAACUAGAACUAGAUGAACUAGAACUAGAUCUAGAUGAACUAGAGGUAGAACUAGAAGAACUAGAGGGAUCCUCUCUACUUGGAUAAAGAAUUGAAACCCUAGCUUUGAUUCUGUAGAAGAGGUAUGAUCUCCAGGGGCCAGGGGGGGUCUGGUUUUAUAGUCCCUUCAAGUGAAUCUGGGCCGUCGGAUCAAACCGACAUUGAUCGUGUGGUUUUCCUUGAAGUAUUAGGUCGGUGGAGCAUGAUCCCCGAACUUCACCCUGAUUGGUCCAAGGGGGAGGGCGGGCGCCCUCAGGACUAGGGCGGGCGCCCUGUCCCUGAGGCCUCUCGGCUUCCGCUUUGGUCCCGUGGCUUCUGGAGUCUUCUAGAUGAUAGAAAAUUGCACGGCACGUUAAUAUCUCUAUGUAAACCCGACGUGUGGGCCUUUCCUCCAUAUUUCCUGAUAACCCCCUGCAGAAAUAGACAAACACCAAAACUCGUGGAAUUCUGUCAGAUAAAACCCUAAGUCUAGGUGUUGGUUGCAUUUGGAUCCUUUUCUAUGAUUAAUUGAUGGUUAAAUGUGAGCAUUAAGGACCGUCAACACCAUGGUGAAAGGUAAAUGAGUAAGUUUUAAGUCUUAAAAGUUUACCUUAACCCAGAGAUGAGAUCUUGUUUGAAUGCAUGUAUAUCUUUAAGGCAUGAAACCACUGCAGAAACUUUUGAGUUUAUCUUUGCUCAGGGAUGAGCAAAGGUUAAGCUUGGGGGAGCUUGUUGACGGUCCUUAAUGCUCACAUUUAACCUUCAACUAAUCAUGGAAAAGGAUCUAAAUGCAACCAACACUAGACUUAGGGUUUUAUCUGACAGAAUUCCACGAGUUUUGGUGUUUGUCUAUUUCUGCAGGGGGUUAUCAGGAAAUACGGAAGAAAGGCCCACACGUCGGGAUUACAUAGAGAUAUUAAUGUGCCGCGCAAUUUUCUACCAUCUAGAAGACUCCAGAAGCCACAGAAAUGAACGGGAAGGCAAUCGGGCUCGGAGGCAGGGCGCCCGCCCUACUCUCCUGGGCGCCCGCCUAGCUACAGUGCCCAAUCAGGACACGUUUCGCGGAUUAUGCUCCACCGACCUAAAGGAUCAAGGAAAACCGUGCGAUCAAUGUCGGUUUGAUCCGACGGCCUAGAUUCACUUGAAGGGACUAUAUAAGCAAGGCCCCCUGGCCCCUGGAGAUCAUACCUCUUCUACAGAAUCAAAGUUAGGGUUUCAAUUCUUCAUCCAAGUAGAGAGGAUCCCUCUAGUUCUUCUAGUUCUACCUCUAGUUCAUCUAGAUCUAGUUCUAGUUCAUCUAGUUCUAGUUCUAGUUCCUCUAGUUCUAGUUCUAGUUAGUUCUAGUUGUAAUCUAGAAAAUAGGGAGAGAGAAGAGGAGAGCGGAGGAGGAGCCGGAUCUGUCGGAUCUUCCUCAACAUUAUACUUUUGCAGCAUCUGGUUCGUUCUUCAUCGUUCUCCAGGUUCUUCACUUCAUAAUUCCUAAGUUCUCUAUUUACUUUUAUUUACAUUCAAGUUAUUUAUUAGAUUCCCGCUUGCAUCAAGUGCUCUAAUCUUUGAAACAUUAGAGUAGUAAUUAAUAGAUUAGACGUGGUGUUUAGUCUUGUAAUUACCUGGAAUUGCACCCAAUCCUACGGAUUGUUGUGGUAGCCUUAGGGUAGUGACAGCCCUAACGGUCGACGUAUCCCACCACGUUCGGAUCGGUGUUUGUAGGACCGUAGUCAGACCUUCCUAGCACCCUUCUCAUCUCUUUCUGUGGUUAGUGCUCUGAUGUCCCGAUAUAGAUAAUCUUGAAGUAAUUCUUGAUUCUUAGAUCAACUAGAGAACUCUCAGGAAACUUCCUCUCUUCCCACCAAAAAAUAAUUAUAUAGUUAUCCUUGGGCGAUCUUGGAUCUUAAUUAGUACACUCACGUUCUCUGUGGAAAAUCGAUACUCUGGAAUACUCCCGGGUGAAAGCUACAUCGGUAUCCGUGCGCUUGCGGAUUUUUCUGUUUGCGUUUAAAAUACCCAACACCCACCUGUUGCAGAUGAUAUCUUUUAUGAUGGCUUUUGCAAGACCUGUCUGCAUCCCGCAGGGGAUGAGGACUAAACCGUUGGGCAUGGUACUCUGACUACUUCGUACCUGUUGCUUUUGGAUGGAUGGCAUAGACUCUGGCAAUAACAAAGACUUUGGAAUGUGUGUUGUAAACUAUUUUGCUUCCGCUACUGCAAACUUGUGUUGUAAUAACUAAGUAACUCCGAUGUGGUGCCGCUUCGACGGCAGUGAAUGACUAUGUAACAUUCGUUGUGUUAUGUUGAACUAUUACGGUCUUGGUUUGUUGCAAGUUGGUUUGAAGUCCUUCGUGAUUUCAAUUGACUACCGGGAUUAUAUGGGCUCAUGUUUGGAAACUUGAUUGCUAGUCGAUCAUUUCUACACUUGAACUCUUAUAAUUUGGUCGGUUCUGUGACAGGUGUGGCCGCAACCAGGUGCGAUCGCAACCUGGUGGGCCCCACUCUGCCUCCCCUUUUGGCAGCGCCCUCCAACGGCUACUCCAAGGGAGUAGUCGGUUGCUGAUGGGUCUGGUUCGAAAACUUGCUCCAGAUCUUGAUUUUCCACAAAUUUAUUCCAAACUUUUUAUUUUUCAAAAAUAAAAUAAAAAUAAGAUUUGAAAAUCUAAAAGCCUCUAAAAACAAGAAAUGAUUUAUAAGAUUUUUGGAGAAAUAUUAUUUUAGACUAAAACAAGGAAUUUUAUAAAAUGAGAGAGAGGUAGAAAAUAAAAUAUAUUUAUAUACUUUUAUAAAAAUAAAAACUCUUCUUCUCUUUUUUUUCAAGGAGGAUUAGAAUAUAAUACCUGAGUGGGGGCACCUCCCCCAAGCUUGGAUGAUAGUGCGGGCCUAUCACAUACAAAUUCUUUCCUUAUAUAUAUAUAUGUAUUUUUUUUGAUAAAUACCGAAGACCUUUCGGCAAGGGCACAACGUUUAUAGUCCGUUGGCGAGACUCUUCUUCCUUCAUUGCCCUGUAGCUGCAUGAACAAACUCAGAGGAAGGUUCGGGUUGCCCCGAAAACUUCCCCGUGUCGUUGACAGGGAUAGAAGCAGCUAUCUGAGCCACCUAUGUUUCUAUCAUUUUAUUAAAGCUAGCUUGAUUUUUAACAGACGAAGAAAGAGCUUCAAGCUUAGAAUUUAUAUUUUCAAAAACUUUGUCGUUAAAGGACAGCUUCUUGGUAAGAUUUUCAUUGAUCUUAGCUUGUCCCAGAACGAGAUCUUUCAAGGAAGGUUGAUUUGAAAAAGAGUUUGAGAAGUUAUUACCUUGUGGGCGGUGUUAAUUGUACCACCCACUGUUACCUUGCUGAGGUGGCCUAUACCCGUUGUUGACGAAUGAAGCUUCUUCUUGGGUCUUAGGGCAAUUGUUCCCAGAGUGGCCAUUGUCACCACAGACUUCACACGAUGUGUGUGAGUAUAUGGCUUGGACGGUGUUGGUAUUGAUUAUAGUGUCGUCCAUCUUCUAUAACAACAAGUCGAUUUUUUGCGGCCAACAGCUCUAUCUCCUUAGCGGACUGUUAGCCUUUUGUGGUUUCCUUCCUUCUCCCCAACUUUGGUUCGCCACCAUCUUCUCGAUGAGGGCGGUAGCUUGGGCAAUGGUGAGAGAAAGGAAGGCACCUCCAGCUGCGGCAUCAACUUGCCCCUUUGACAUGGCCGCAAGGCCUUCGUAGAAGUUCUGGAGCACUAGUCAGUCUUCCAUUCCAUGAUGAGGACAGGCCCGGAUGUACUCCUAGAGCCUUUCCCAUGCUUCGGGGAUGGACUCUAGUGAAGACUGCUGGAAGUUGGAGAUCUUCCCCCUUAGAGCACUGGUUUUGCUCACGGGGAAGAACUUAGCGAGGAAUGCCGCGGAACACUUGUUCCAAGUGUCUACAGCUUCCUUGUUCUGGUAGAACCACUGUUUUGCCUUUCCCGUGAGGGAGAAAGGAAAUAGACGGAGCCUGAUGCUGUCUUCUGCGACGUCUUUGAUGACGAUAGUGUCACACAACUCAAGGAAGUGCUGAAGGUGAGCGUUGGCAUCUUCGCUUGGCAAGCCACAGAACUGACUUGCCUGCACCAUCGAGAUGAGGCCAGUACGGAUCUCGAAGUUGCCAUUCCCAACAUUGACAGCGGGCCCAACGGGCACGUUGGCAACAGCGGGAGUGGAGUAGUCACGGAGAGUCCUGGCCAUCUGUUGACGGUCCUUAACGCUCACAUUUAACCAUCAAUUAAUCAUGGAAAAGGAUCCAAAUGCAACCAACACCCAGACUUAGGGUUUUAUCUGACAGAAUUCCACGAGUUUUGGUGUUUGUCUAUUUCUGCAGGGGGUUAUCAGGAAAUAUGGAAGAAAGGCCCACACGUCGGGGUUACAUAGAGAUAUUAACGUGCCGUGCAAUUUUCUAUCAUCUAGAAGACUCCAGAAGCCACGGGACCGAAGCGGAAGCCGAGAGGCCUCAGGGACAGGGCGCCCGCCCUAGUCCUGAGGGCGCCCGCCCACCUCUUUCCACCAAUCAGGGUGAAGUUCGGGGAUCAUGCUCCACCGACCUAAUACUUCAAGGAAAACCACACGAUCAAUGUCGGUUUGAUCCGACGGCCCAGAUUCACUUGAAGGGACUAUAAAACCAGACCCCCUGGCCCCUGGAGAGCAUACCUCUUCUACAGAAUCAAAGUUAGGGUUUCAAUUCUUCAUCCAAGUAGAGAGGAUCCCUCUAGUUCUUCUAGUUCUACCUCUAGUUCAUCUAGAUCUAGUUCUAGUUCAUCUAGUUCUAGUUCUAGUUCCUCUAGUUCUAGUUCUAGUUAGUUCUAGUUGUAAUCUAGAAAAUAGGGAGAGAGAAGAGGAGAGCGGAGGAGGAGCCGGAUCUGUCGGAUCUUCCUCAACAUUAUACUUUUGCAGCAUCUGGUUCGUUCUUCAUCGUUCUCCAGGUUCUUCAAUUCAUAAUCCUGAGUUCUUUAAUUACUUUUAUUUACAUUCAAGUUAUUUAUUGGAUUCCCGCUUGCAUCAAGUGCUCUAGUCUUUAUAACGCUAGAGUAGUAAUUAAUAGAUUAGACGUGGUGUUUAGUCUUGCGAUUACCUGGAAUUGCACCCAAUCCUGCGGAUUGUUAUGGUAGCCUUAGGGUAGUGACAGCCCUAACGGUCGACGUAUUCCACCAUGUUCGGAUCGGUGUUUGUAGGACCGUAGUCAGACCUUCCUAGCCCCCUUCUCAUCUCUUUCUGUGGUUAGUGCUCUGAUGUCCCGAUAUAGAUAAUCUUGAAGUAAUUCUUGAUUCUUAGAUCAACUAGAGAACUCUCAGGAAACUUCCUCUCUUCCCACCAAAAAUACUUAUAUAGUUAUCCUUGGGCGAUCUUGAUUCUUAAUUAGUACACUCACGUUCCCUGUGGAAAAUCGAUACUCUGGAAUACUCCCGGGUGAAGGCUACAUCGGUAUCCGUGCGCUUGCGGAUUUUUCUGUUUGCGUUUAAAAUACCCAACAAGCUUUCUGGCGCCGUUGCCGGGGAACGGUAGCUGUGCUAGUUUCGAACCAAGUCGUCCGUGUAUCCUUUUUCUUUUCCUUUUUUUUACCACACUCACCUUACCAUUUUCACCAUACCACAUGGAUUUCACUCUAAGCAUUAAUGAGCAUGGAAUUUAUCUCAUAGCAACUUCAUUUACUCCAUGCUCAUAUGCAACAUCUUCACAAUCCAUUGGUCUCUCCAACAUCACCACAUUCGAGAUCUCCAACCCCCUCAUCCUUUCUAUUUAUAAAAACUUUAAAAGGGCGGUUGUCGAUGCAUAUGUCUAUAAGAAAUAUUGCAGAUCUCGUUGAGUCGAUCUUGAUAUAGGUCAACGUUGGAGGGGAAACCACUUCACUGACAUAAAUUGAGGGUUUCCCAAGGACAAGCUUAGUGUCCUAAAACAAGCACUUUUUAGAUCAUAACAUGAGCUUUUAAUUAUUUGCAACAUUACCUUGUGUAUUGAGCAUAUAAGGAUAAUUGUAAAAAAAUUCCUUCGGGUAUUCUUGUCACUAACCUUUCUAGGAUUGGAGCAAGAAGAUCGGAUGAAUGACAAGCACAAGGUAUGUACAACCAAUCAUCAUACAACAUUGAAUUAAAUUCAUCCAAAUUUGAAUUUUGCAAAAUUCAAGCUUGGGGGAGUACUUUAUAUAAAAACAUCAUUUGCCAUGUUGCUAUGUUGGUUGUCCCUACCUUUGAGACAUGCUCAAUUUGUUAAAUAGUAAUCACACUACUUCAUCUCCACUUGAGUAGAUCUCUAUAAAAGCCAUCACGCUACCUUUGUUUAUCGUAGUAAGUGUUAGUUUGGAAGUACUGUACAUACUUCUAUUGGUUUUUAAAUUAAGCAUGGUGCUUAGGUUAAACAGCCUUCCUUAAUCUAAUUAGACAUGGAGUCUAGUUUGGUUAUUGAACUAAAAACUGCUUGUGUAGACAUUGGUAUAUUUUGUUGGACUAACCCCUGCAGGAAAACUUUUAAUAUCGACCUGGGAAGUCCUGAGAUAAACUCACAUUGGAGACAAAGAGAGACACACAUGAAGGUUAACAAUUUACACAAGGAAGGCAUAGCUCACAAGAGAUGAUCCAUGGAGGGUGCCACAAACACGAUGCACAACCGCUAAGAAAUGAAAGCUUCCACAAGGAGAUAUUGUACCAUCACUCUUCAAGUAAGGUAACAUCUUAAGGUACUUGACUAUCACUUUUAUAAGCUUCUCCUUGGUUCUGGCGUUCACAUGAAUAAAAGAGACAAACAUGUAUGAUUUACAACUCUAGAUUAACCAACCCAAUCGAUUCAACAUGUUUAGUCUUUCCACCUUUGUGAUCCCACAAUCCUAAUCAUAUGAGCUAAAAUGUUGCACACUCAAUCUUUGGAAAAUGAUAGUCAUGUAAAGAAAAAAAACAUUUACUUAGAUAGAUUAUCUUUCCAUAAGGUUGAGUGAUCUGAUCUGACAAAUGUUUUAAAUGCUACACUCAUGAUCUUAUUAUCCAUCAACUUUGUCUUGCUCACUAUGCUUAAGGUUAGAGAAGAACAAAUACACUUUUGGUUCUGUUGGUGUUUUCCACCAACAGGGCCCAUGCACUUGAUCUCUGCCUUGUCUCUAUGAGCAGGUACACUUCGAGCAAAAUAUGAAGGACUUUUACAACUCCCAGACUCCACUAAGUGAAGAACCUAGAUCUACGAGCACAAACACACUGGAGAUACUGGACACUCAGGCAAUCACUGCCCUGAGAUGCUUGAGGACGUAACUACUUGUUGACACCGUUUUUGGGCACGUGUCUAGGAUGGCAGGAUAAGGUGGCAGUACGAUGUUUACAAAGCGGGUUGCCGAUGAGGAUGGUUGCCGAUGAGGGAGAAGUUGAAUGUGACAGGCAGUAAUAUGGUGUCGAUGGCUAGAUAAGAAAGUCUGCCGAUGACUAUGGCAAAGGAUCUGCCGAUGAUGCAAAGGAGGAGUCUGGAAGCUGCCGGUCGUUAUGUGGAGGAGUUUCGGUUUGUUACGAGGGAUAGUUUUGUUAUUUCCUUAAUUAUUUGCAUCGUUUUGUAUACGGAUUCCGUGUAAUUUGGAAUUCGAAUUCUAAUCGUGUCUGGUUGUAGCUCUUUGAGCAGGGUAUAAAUAUAGACCCUAGGGCCUUGUAAGAAGAAUCAAUCAGUCAAUCAAACAUACGUUUUUACUCAUAUUCCAGCAUCUACUUUUCGAUGACUUCGUCAUACUUUUUUCCUUUUAUUACGAGUUCUUAGGAAUUCGUCGACUUAAGCUCGGCGUGUUCUUGAGUUCCGCGUGAGUACCUCUUAGCCGUGACAUCCGGGCGCAUCGCUGUUGUCAGGACUAAAGUAUUCGAGUUAUCACCUUUGCCGAUAGUAAGGUCAAAUCGGCUGGCACGCCUUAACGUUUGAAUCGGGUAUUAGCCCUUUGUGUUUGCAGAUCAGUUUUGCAUCAACACAUCUUUUGGCACGCCCAGUGGGACAGGAUUCAAGAUCAAGAUCAACAUGUCGAUCUCUGACCUCGAUCAAGAGAACGUCAUCCCCGUGACGGAGGCCAACCUCAAGGAUGAGCAGAAGCAAGCUAUUGCCCAAGCCAUGGAAGAGUUCAAGCAGCAAUGCUUGAGGUCUUUCAGCAUAAACAGGAGCGGCGAAGUGGUCCAGAAAGAUGCACUGCCGGCACCACGGCAGGUUACCUUUGACGCCAAUCCUGGCAAGCUUCAAGAUAUGGUUGACAAUGCCAUCAAUCGAGCGUUGAUUAACCAAGCUGGUGUACUGUCUAAUACGGUUUUCAAUGCCGUGGCAAGAACUUUCAAGGAAGGACAAAUCCCACCAGAUUAUGUGGGCCCCUCCCAUCAUCAGCCAACGGCAGCAGAGGUCACGGCUCCAUCGGCUGCCUUGACGAAUGCAAGUGCACAAUCUGCCGUCCCUCCAAGUACAUCGGGGACUACUGGUGCACUAUCUAUGCCGAUGGCAACCAACCCACAAAUUUCAGUUGGGCAGUAUAAACUGACAACAGAUAUGUUGGCGUCGGCAAUGUCAGGGUUGACUCUUCCUCCCAACUGGUGGGGUUACGGUAUGCCUCCAGAGUUGACGCCGGGAACAUCACAAAUAACCGACAUGAGGGGCAAAACUCCUAUGACAUCGGCACCUCCCAAUGCGCCGGUGAACCAGAGUCCUCGGUAUACCACAACUACUACUGCAAGGCCUCACACUGGAAAUCCUCAAGAUUCAAUGUUCCAGAUGCCCAACGCAUCGGCAGAGUCAAUGCUGAUGCAACAGAGGCCUAUGGCCCAGUCGGGGUAUGUCAAUUCAACGACGGUACCCAAUUACCAAUCAUCGGCAGCACCUAUGCCGAUGAACGCUAAUAAUGGAUGGCUUGGACAGCAAGCCUUUCCACAAUCGCCCCAGCAGAGUUAUCAGACUACAGGGUUCCAGCAAGGGCAGGUCUAUCCCGGGUUCCAAGGUCAGGGGAUUCCCAACCAGCCAAUGAAUUUUGGACAGCAACUCGGAGGACAGCCAGUCGGUGGACAGCAGUUUGGUGGUCCGCAGAUUGGAGGACAGGUGAUCAAUACGAUGUUCCGUGCAGAUCACGUCCCGAACAGACACGUGGAGGUUCGCCACCAAGUGCCGGAUCCGCAGCCGCCUCAUCGGCAAGAUGCCGAUGCAUAUUGGGCCGACAAGAUUGCUGAAGUAAUGAGGGAACAAUUUGGGAUAAAACCCAAAGUCAACACUUAUUCUUAUCGGACACCGUAUCCUCCCGCGUAUGAUUUGAUCCCGCUUCCACAUCGGUACAAGGUACCGGAUUUUACAAAGUUUUCCGGACAGGACGACACGUCAACCAUGGAGCAUGUCAACAGGUUCAUUAUUCAAUGUGGAGAGGCUGGUAACAGGGACGAAUUGAGGGUUCGUCUAUUUUCAUCAUCAUUGUCUGGAUCGGCCUUUACUUGGUUCAUAUCAUUACCUCCCAACUCAGUAAUUACUUGGGCCGAUCUAGAGAAGCAAUUCCACAAAUACUUCUUCUCGGGGGUUCAUGAGAAGAAGAUCACCGACUUGGUCAAGUUGAGGCAACGUAAUGAUGAGUCGGUUGAGGGAUUUGUGCAGAGGAUACGAGAGGUCAAGAAUAAAUGCUAUAGCCUGGUUCUGGAUGAUCGGCAGCUAGCCGAUUUGGCUUUCCAGGGUUUGUUGCCACAUAUCAGGGAUAAGUAUGCCUCUCAGGAGUUUGAAAGUUUAAGUCAUUUGGUGCAGAGGAUUUCUGAUCAAGACAUCAAGCCUUUCGAGCCUAAGAGGGCAUGGAAUAAGAAAGUGUCAUUUGUUGAUGAAGCAACAAGCUCAGAUUCUGAUGAAGAACCAGUAAUCGGUUUGGCAGAGUGGGUAAAAAACAAGAAGCCGAUGUCUUGUCCUUUUGGGCAGAAGGAACCGGAGAAGUUUGCUUUUGACACCGCUAAGGCUGAUAGGAUAUUUGACUUUCUACUUCAGGAAGGUCAGAUCAAACUGUCACCUAACCAUGUGAUCCCAUCGGCAGAAGAGUUGAAGAGGAUGAGAUAUUGCAAGUGGCAUAAUGCAACUUCCCAUGACACCAACGAGUGCAAAGUAUUCAGACAGCAGCUGCAAUCGGCUAUAGAGUCAGGGAGAAUCAAGUUUGACAGUUCCAAAGCCCAGAAGCCGAUGAAGAUAGACCAACAUCCUUUCCCGACAAACAUGUUGGAUGCUAAGGGGAAGGCUAAGGUCUUAACAUCGGAGGCAGCUGAGAGGAGUGCAUCGGUAGAUCCUCAGCAUCAAGUUACUACUGCCGAUGCAAGAAGUAAGGGCUUGGUCCAGGAAGGAACUAGCUCAGGAAGGCUUCCUCGAUCCGGUAUCGUCAUAACUCAUAGAAGGCCUCGAGAAAAAUGGCAACAACGGGAAGAUCGGUAUCGGCGCCAGCAGGAAGAUUAUCUACGGGAAGAAGAAAGACGCCGACAGGAGUGGAAUCGGCACAGGGAUCAUUGGAAUUGUCCAUUCUUCAUCCAUUGUUGGGAGGAAAAUAUCAAGCUUCCUACUGUCAGAAACUGCCCUGAGUGCAACAGUUAUGAUCGGUACGAUAGGAUCGAUCGGCAUUAUCAUAAUGAUGAACGGCGAUUUAAUGGGCCGAUCAGAGGAAGGGUGUUAGUUCAUGACCGGCUGGGGGGCAGAUUUAGUGGGCACAACAGACUUAGUGACCGUGUCCAGUAUUUUCCCAGGAACCAAGAAGAGCUCGGGGAAAUGGCUGGUGCGCGGGUUCCCGAUGAAUUCAUAUUUUGCAGGGAUGCUAACACACAUCGUAUGGAGUCAAGGGAGAACCGACGCCCGACGGCAAGGCAAAGGCCACUUCCUCCUUGGUGCCCUGGAGGAUUAACCAAGACACAGAAAAGGAGAUUGCAACAUGAGAGGCAAGAAGAGCUAAACAAGGGAGAGAACUCUGGAAGUCGGCAGCCGUCAGACACUAAGAGGGAAAGUCCAUCGGCAGACGUCAACAUGGUCUUCAUGUUGCCGAUGGAGUUUCUUGCACCAGCCAGCGAUGAUGAGGUGGAAUUUUCUGAUCAGAUAGCUCAGUUGGCUCUGGAUCCGAUGACGGCUAUCUUUGAGAAACCUGCCGAUGACGAGAGGCAGCAUCUUAAAGCCCUGUUCCUCAAAGGAAGGGUUGAUGGGCAGCCAAUGACCAAGAUCCUAGUUGAUGGUGGAGCUGCUAUUAAUAUUAUGCCGUAUGCAGUAUAUCGGAAGCUUGGGAAAGGGGAUCAAGAUUUGACCAAGACCGAUAUGAUGCUCAAAGACUUUGAAGGAAACGUGUCUCCAGUCAAGGGGGCGAUAUGUGCAGAGUUGACCAUCGGCAGCAAAACCUUGCCGACAACUUUUUUCGUGAUCAGCGGAAAAGGUGCUUACAACUUAUUAUUGGGAAGAGAUUGGAUUCAUGCCAAUUGUUGUAUCCCAUCUACAAUGCAUCAGUGCUUGGUUCAGUGGGUAGGUGACAAGAUUGAGAUUGUCCCAGGAGAUUCUUCUUAUGUUAUCGCAUCGGCAGAAGCGGAUACUUACGAAAGGACCAGGUGCAUUUCAGGAGAAGUUUGGGAGAAAGAUUUUCUCAAAGUUGCCGAUUAUGAGAUUCCACCGAUCCAAGCAGUCGGUUCUGACGACGGUUUUUAAUGGAUAGAUUCGCCGAUGAUGGAAAAUUAGGCCAGGGGUUCACAUCGGCCGAUGAUUUGGUAGAAGUAGAUAUAGGUAGUGGUGAUAAGCCUAGGCCUACUUUUAUUAGUGCUAAAUUAGAUCCUGAGAGUAAGCGACAAUUGACUAGUUUGUUAAAGGAAUAUAAAGAUUGCUUUGCUUGGGAUUAUACAGAGAUGCCUGGUUUAGACCGAUCAAUUGUUGAACAUCGGUUACCCAUCAAGUCUGGAUUUCGGCCACAUCAGCAACCAGCCCGCCGAUGUAAUCCUAACAUUCUACCUGAUAUUAAGGCCGAAAUCACUAAACUUAUUGAAGCUAAGUUUAUUCGGCAGUGUCGGUAUGCCGAAUGGAUUUCCAAUGUUGUUCCGGUUUACAAGAAGAACGGGAAGCUUCGGGUGUGCAUUGAUUUCAGGAAUCUCAAUAAGGCUACGCCGAUGGAUGGAUACCCAAUGCCUGUCGCCGAUCUACUAGUUGAUGCUGCGGCUGGUCAUCGGGUCAUCAGCUUCAUGGAUGGUAAUGCAGGUUAUAAUCAAAUAUUCAUGGCGGAGGAGGAUAUUCCAAAAACCGCAUUCAGAUGUCCUGGUCAUGUUGGGCUAUUUGAAUGGAUAGUCAUGACUUUUGGGUUGAAGAAUGCUGGUGCUACUUAUCAAAGGGCUAUGAAUUUUAUAUUUCAUGAGUUCAUCGGCAAGCUCGUAGAGAUUUAUAUUGAUGAUGUGGUGGUUAAGUCUGGAGAUUUCUCAAAGCAUCUUGCCGAUUUACAAAAAGUGUUAGAGUGCACAAGGAAGCAUGGAUUGAAGAUGAAUCCCAACAAGUGUGCAUUUGGUGUAUCGGCAGGGCAGUUUCUUGGUUUCAUGGUACAUCAGAGGGGUAUUGAAAUUAGUCGAAGAUCUAUUGAUGCCAUCAAUAAAAUAGUGGCCCCUACCAACAAAAUCGAGCUCCAAUCCUUGAUCGGCAAGGUAAAUUUUAUCAGGAGAUUUAUAUCGAAUUUGUCUGGUAGGAUUCGUGCUUUCAGUCCUCUUCUUAAAUUGAAAGCCGAUCAAGAGUUUAUUUGGGGAGAAGAACAGCAGUUGGCUCUGGAUGAAAUCAAGAAGUAUCUAGUAAAUCCUCCAGUUCUAGUUCCACCUCAACAAGGGAAGCCCUUCAGAUUGUAUUUAUCUACCGAUGGAUCGGUUAUCGGUUCAGCCUUAGUUCAAGAAUUUGAAGGGAAAGAAAGGGUAAUUUAUUAUUUGAGUAGGAGGUUGAUUGAUGCUGAAACCAGGUAUUCGGCCAUUGAGAAAUUAUGCUUAUGCUUAUAUUUUUCAUGUGUCAAGCUGAGACAUUACCUGUUAUCGGCCGAAUGCACUGUUGUUUGCAAAGAUGACGUGGUCCGAUACAUGCUAUCUAUGCCGAUUAUGAGUGGUAGGAUCGGUAAAUGGAUUUUAGCGCUGUCGGAGUUCGAUUUGCGUUACGAAUUGGCUAAGGCAGUCAAAGGGCAGAUUAUGGCCGAUUUUGUGACUCAGCAUUGCGGUCUAGUGGAAACCUUGGAAAUUGUACCCUGGACGCUCUUCUUUGAUGGAUCUACCUGUGACCGGGGGGCAGGAAUCGGCAUUGUAUUAGUUUCCCCUAAGGGGAGGAAGUAUGAGUUCUCCUUGCCGAUUGUUGCCACAUCAACAAAUAAUCAGGCUGAGUAUCAAGCUCUGAUCAAGGGAUUGGAGCUGUUAAGAGAAGUUCGUGCUGAUGCUGUUGAAAUAUUCGGGGAUUCUAUGUUGGUUAUAAAUCAAUUGGCCGGAAGCUAUGAAUGCCGAAGUGAAGUUCUCAUAACUUAUUUCGAGAGAAGUAUGCAACUGUUAAAGGAAUUCAAGGAUUUCCGAUUGGAGCAUGUCCCCCGAUUGCAUAAUGAAGACGCUAAUCGGUUAGCUCAGCAUGCCUCGGGAUAUCAGCCAAUGAUUAAUGCGACAUCGGCAGUCGGUGCUGGUGAUUGGAGGAAAGAAAUUAUUGAUUAUCUAAAAGAUCCAUCCAAAAAAGUUGAAAGACGGGUUCGAUUUCAAGCAACCAAGUAUGUGCUCCUUGAAAAUGAAUUGUAUUAUCGAACUAUCGAUGGAAUUCUUCUCCGAUGCUUGGGUGAUGAUGAAGCUAGAAGUUUGAUGGGGGAAAUCCAUGAAGGAGUGUGUGGAGCGCAUCAGUCAGCUUUUAAGAUGAAGUGGAUGAUUCGAAGGAAUGGAUAUUUUUGGCCAACCAUACUUGAAGAUUGUUUUAAAUAUUUCAAGGGAUGUCAAGGUUGUCAGAAGUUUGGUAAUAUCCAGAGAGCACCCGCAUCGGCUAUGAACCCUAUAAUAAAGCCUUGGCCGUUCCGGGGAUGGGCCAUCGAUCUGAUCGGCCAGAUUUAUCCACCAUCUAGCAAAGGGCAUAAGUUCAUUCUAGUUGCCACUGACUAUUUCACUAAGUGGGUUGAAGCUAUUCCUUUGAAGAAAGUCACAUCGGCCAAUAUGAUUGAUUUUGUGAAGGAGCAUAUUAUUUACCGAUUUGGGAUUCCCCAAACGAUUACUACCGAUCAGGGCACCAUGUUCACAUCGGGGGAGUUCGAUGAAUUCGCAAUCGGUAUGGGAAUUAAAGUACUGAAUUCUUCUCCUUAUUAUGCUCAAGCCAAUGGGCAGGCCGAAGCGUCUAACAAAGGAAUUAUCAAGCUUAUUAAACGAAAAAUUGAAGAAAAUCCUAAGCGGUGGCAUACAUUAUUAAAUGAAGCAUUGUGGUCUUAUCGGAUGGCUUGUCAUGGAUCAACCAAGGUAUCACCCUAUCAAUUGGUGUAUGGACAUGAAGCAGUGUUGCCUUGGGAAAUUAAGGCUGGAUCUAGGCGAUUAUCUUUUCAAGAUCAAUUAACUUCCGAUGGUUAUGCCACUUUGAUGACCGAUGAAUUGGACGAUCUAGCAGGGCAUCGGUUAAAAGCUUUAAUGAGUAUAGAAGAAAAUAAGAAGAGAGUUGCUAGAUGGUAUGAUAAGAAAGUGAAGGCUAAAGAGUUUGCCGAUGGGGAUUUGGUAUGGAAAUUAAUUUUACCAAUUGGGACCAAAAGUUCGAAGUUUGGAAAGUGGUCUCCUAAUUGGGAGGGUCCUUAUCGGAUAAGUCGAUCGGCUCCUGGUAAUGCCUACAUUCUAGAAACCCUCGAAGGGAUUGAAUUUCCCAGAGCAUUAAACGGCAAAUAUUUAAAGAAGUACUACCCCAGUAUAUGGGUCGAUGCAUAGAAGUUUAGGUGCCGAUAACACUCCUAUCGGCUGGAUCCAAAUGCUUGGGGACAGGACGUGGUGUUUCAAAAGUUUGGGCGCCGAUAACAGUCCUAUCGGCUAGACUAAAAGCUGAGGAAGCAGGAAAGCGCAGAAACAAUGCCGAUGGAAACUCUAUGUGUUAAGCAGCGUCUGGAUUGCCGAUAUAGCGCGUAACCGAAUUUGGUUGGCUGCUUCUAUCUCCUUGAUGUCAUCAUCGGCAGAACCUUCUAUCGGCUUCAGCUUCUUCUUCAGUUGGAGUGCUUUGCGACCAUGAGCAUUUCACUCGCGCUCAAGAAGCCUGAUGGCCUCUGGCAAUUGGCUUUCUUCCUGUUGGGCUUGGGACAGAGCGUUCUCUACUUCCUUGAGCUCCGCCAAUAGGGACUCUUUUCUUGCCGAUAGAUCAGAUAUCUUCUGCUUCAGCGCGUCUCCAGAAUAUCUCAGGAUGCCGAUGUUAUUGUGCUUCUCAUCGGUCAAAAGCUUCUCUUUCCUCAUUUCAUCGGAGAGCUGAGUCUGAGCGGCUCUAUCGGCAAGCCGCCGAGAAGCUCUUUGGUACUGCAGUUGGCGACUCUCCAGAUGAGCGGCUUGGAACAGGAUUUCUUCAACAUCGGCUGGGACUUGGCCUCUGAGAGUUCUGAACAGGGUCUUGGUAGGGUCGGAAUCAUCAACCAAUUGCGCUGUGUCCUGGUGAAGGAGAGUUGACAAUUCUUCCAGCCUGACCCUGACCUCUGCCGAUGUGAUGCCGACCGACUGAGAAGUGCUUGCUUCUUCACCUUCUUCUUCAGAGAAAUCGAUGGCGAAGGAGAACAGGCUAUCGGGAGAAUCUUGUUCCUGGGAGGGAAAGCAAAAUUAGCUCAUACUUAGAGAAUCGGCAAAUAAUACUGGCGGUAAACAGUGACUUACUUGCUUCAAGGCGAUCUCUUGCCUUGGACUGGGAGGUGCUGACGGAGCUGCGGGCUGACCGGCCAAAGAUGCCGAUGGAACUACAGGUUGAUCGGCUAAGGUUGCCGAUGGGACGAUAUCGACUGAAAGGAGACAAGAAAGGUUAUGAGACUAAAUGAGAAUAAGUUCAUCGGCAACGGUAUUGUUAAAGUAUGUUACCUGGAAGGGGAACAACGGUUGUCUGAAUCGGGAGAACCGCCGAUGAUAUAAUUGGACCCACCGGACCAGUUGUUUGUUCACCCACAUCGACUGAUGUACCUUCUGUUUGAGGCUCUUCCUGCUGGGAUUCUUCCAUCUGUGGUGCUUCCUGCAUUGGUUGGGGAGAUGGCGCUUGCUGUGUCUGGGCUUCUGGAGAAGAAGGAGAAGACUCCACUGGGAUUGGAGAUACCGGAGGAAGAGGGGGAGUUGCCACCUUUUGGCGUUUCAUUUCGGCCCUGGUGCUCUUGACACCCUUCCUCUUUGGCUGGCUGGACUGGGUGGCAUCGGCACCUUGACGUGUGACCUUUGCCGAUGCACUGGUUUGCUGCAAUAACGAACAAGGGUUUAUAAGUAUAAAUAAAGCCGAUAUAAAGAUAGUCAGCGUAAAAGAUAAAGAUUUGACAAAUUGCCUUGAAAGCCCGCGCCAGAGUGGGAGCAGCUACCGUUGGUGAUGUCUGGGUUCUCCUGGUCGUAACUUUCCUGAGGCGCACACCCCGAUGCACGAUGGAAGCCAGGGUGGGAGCAUUGUGGCCGAUUGAGGAAAUCGGGCCUGAUGGAAACAAGUUGAUCGGCUUGCCACUCCUGCUAACCGAUGAGGGGAUGUUAUCAACCUGCAAAAGGAAUACAAGGGUAAGCUACUGAUGGAAAUAAUGUUGAAAAAAUGAAACAUCGGUUGGAGAUACUUACAGUGUCAUCGGGAAUUUCGUAUUCGGAGUCGAUCAUGCCGCGGUAUGAAAGGGCCGAUCUGCAGAAUAGAUGCUCUUUCCAUUCUGCCCACCAUAACUUGUAUGCCUGAGUGAUAAAAGCAGCCGGAACCCAUUCUGAUAGAUCUACAUCUGUAUCGGCGUUUGGUGGUAGUUGGGCUACUCGACUCCACUCAAGAAAGUUAUUGAUAGUUUCUCUGGGUUUUAUCACAUCGGCAUAAGGAAGUGCGAUUGGCAACUGGCCGAAAGCUAACUGGCGAGCUAAUGCCGAUGGAUUAUAAAAUUCAUAAGUCUGGGGAGAAGUUUUUGUGCUACCGAAGAAAUUCACUGGAAUGGCUCUGGGAGUCACAAUUGCCAUCAUCGCCUCAUUGUCCCUGUCGAGAGCUUCAUCAAAUGGAUUGAAGGUCAGAGGGAGCAUGCUAUCUGGGUCAUCAUAAGCCAACCAUGGUCGUUCAUCUCUGGCCAAACCCUCAUACAGAGUCUCGAAGAAUCGGCCGAUCUGAUCCGGAUUACUCCCUGAACCAGGUAGGACUAUGACGGCUUCGCCAAAGUUCAAGGGGGCACGCGUUGCCGAUUCCUCUUCACCCAACACAUGAUUUUCGGCUAUAUCUCUUGGGAAGUGCUGUGAGAACAAGUUGAAAUCAAGGCGCUUAUGCAGGUGCAGAUUGAGCCACAUAUUAAUAAACCACCAGGGGCCUCCCAAGUUGCGGAUGGAUUGGCCAAGCAGGAGUUUCUGGGCUACCUGAUGGAGAAGGUGGUAAACAGCGCCAAGCAAGUAUCGGCCGAGAGGAAAUUGGCCACCGUUAGCCAGUCUCUCUGCUGCCGAUAGAUAGACGGAAGUCGGUCCUGCCGAUCGACCACAGAAUACAAACUUGUCCAGCCACAUGUUCAGAAAGGUGGUUUGCUCCUUUAUGGUGAUAGGCCCUCUCCCGCGGUACUUCUGAAUAUACCCUGACCAACCGCCGAUAGCGCGAGUCUCCACUUUAGCACUGGGGGCAGUAUCAAAAAAGUGGGUGCUAUCGGCAGAAGAUAUAUCUAGACCAGUGAGCAUAGCUACAUCGGCAAGGGUAGGAGAAGCAGGGCCGUGGCCAAAAACAAAAGCAUUGAGGGUGUCUGACCAAAAGUAGGACGCAGCUAUCAGCAGUGACUCGUUCCUGUGCAUAUCGGCAAUGGAUAGCCUAAUGCAUUGGGCUAGCUUCCUUUCGCCCCACUGGACUUCAUAAGAAUUGCUGGCCCUCAAGAACCAGUCUUUCCACCCUAUGGUAGGGCUGGGCCAAGAGCGAAAAGUGUCUUUCCACAUAUCUAAAGAAAAGUUUUCAGCUCUAAAGGGGAUCCUAUUGGUUUCUGCGUUGAUAAGGUUGGUUGGAUCUGAAUCCCCUAGAGGGCCGAGACAUUGAAGGUGUGGUUGAUCGGUGGGGAUGACAAUUUUAUUGGACAACUCCUAGUGAUUUUGGGGGAAUAAAAAUACAAAGAAAAGGGAAAAGGAGAAUAUUCAGUAAGAUGAAUCGCGGAUGAACAGGAAUAAAAAUACAGAAGAUGAGAUGGAGAUCUGACCUCAGGGACGACGAAGCCAAUGGCCAUCUUGUCGUGAAGGAAGCGUGUGAAGGCGCCGGAGUUGAUGAAGAGGGGUACUUGUCGGAGACCUUAGGAGUUUUUGGUGGCGCCGCCGCUGGAAAAGUAAAGUUGGGUAGUAGAAUGGUGUGAUGGGGAAGGAGUACCCAAGAAGGAACUAUUUAUAGGACAAGAUGGGCAAGGGCAAAUCCGACUUAUCUCUUUGCCGCAUCCGAGAAACCCGAGGGUACUCAGGUGGAUAUGGCAACUGUUCGCACGGUAAUCCAGGGAUUGUGCAGGUGAUUUGACAGGAAGCGGUCAUUAUCUGAAGAUAUUUUACUGUGCGAGAUCUCCUGGUCGGUCCAUCGGCGAUAUUCUAUAACGGUCAUUUUGCCGAUGGGCGGAUAGAGGGGAAGUAAUUGUUUUUGCGAAUAUCCUGGUCAGAGCAUCGGCAGAUCUUUGUAACAGUAUUGUUACCGAUGUACGACUGAGAAAAAUGCCCGUUUAGGAAGUUGGGGAUUUCGAGGAAUCUGCGGAGGAUUAGGAUCAGAGUUGUCCAGAUUGAGGUUGUCGGUUACCAGAUUAGGAGCAUUAAUUGCGGGAGAAGGCAUCAUUACUGCAGAGAAUUUCGGAGCAUUAAUAGUUUUAUACUCCGAAACUGGGGGGCAUGUGUUGACACCGUUUUUGGGCACGUGUCUAGGAUGGCAGGAUAAGGUGGCAGUACGAUGUUUACAAAGCGGGUUGCCGAUGAGGAUGGUUGCCGAUGAGGGAGAAGUUGAAUGUGACAGGCAGUAAUAUGGUGCCGAUGGCUAGAUAAGAAAGUCUGCCGAUGACUAUGGCAAAGGAUCUGCCGAUGAUGCAAAGGAGGAGUCUGGAAGCUGCCGGUCGUUAUGUGGAGGAGUUUCGGUUUGUUACGAGGGAUAGUUUUGUUAUUUCCUUAAUUAUUUGCAUCGUUUUGUAUACGGAUUCCGUGUAAUUUGGAAUUCGAAUUCUAAUCGUGUCUGGUUGUAGCUCUUUGAGCAGGGUAUAAAUAUAGACCCUAGGGCCUUGUAAGAAGAAUCAAUCAGUCAAUCAAACAUACGUUUUUACUCAUAUUCCAGCAUCUACUUUUCGACGACUUCGUCAUACUUUUUUCCUUUUAUUACGAGUUCUUAGGAAUUCGUCGACUUAAGCUCGGCGUGUUCUCGAGUUCCGCGUGAGUACCUCUUAGCCGUGACAUCCGGGCGCAUCGCUGUUGUCAGGACUAAAGUAUUCGAGUUAUCACCUUUGCCGAUAGUAAGGUCAAAUCGGCUGGCACGCCUUAACGUUUGAAUCGGGUAUUAGCCCUUUGUGUUUGCAGAUCAGUUUUGCAUCAACACUACUGGAGUAACCCUGUUGUGGAAGUAAUUACUGACCUUCUGCCGGUCAAGAGAGACAACCCAGGACGCCCCGUCAUCCCGAUCUCCAUCGGCAUGGUGGACUUCCUAGAAGCACUCUGCGACUUUGGCUCCAGCGUCAACAUUAUGCCCAAGCCUGCAGAUCAGACACUAAGUUUCCCAAAGAGAAUAUUGAACAACCUCUUCGUCCGAGUUGGUACCUUGUACGCCCCAGCAGACUUCGUGGUGAUAGAGACUGGUACUGAUGAGAGGGCACCCAUCCUAGGGAGGCCAUUUGAACACCCAUCCUAGGGAGGCCAUUUGAACACCUCGGGAGCUGUCAUCUACGCUAGUGCUGUCAAGAUCAGUUUCUACAUCAAGGGGAAGAAGGAGACGUUUUCCUUCAAGAAACAAGACUACACAAAUCCCAGAGCAAUCCCGACAUGAACCAAGGAAGAGGACCAACAGGAGGAACAAGAACAAGCAAAUGUGUACCGAGUCAGCUAAGAUGGUCACUGCAGCUCAAGGAGGUCAAGAUCGUCAACUCAAGUCACCUUUCUUGAUCAAGAAGGACGACCCUGGUGUUCCAAGCAUCGAGUGAACAAUCAACGGAUAUUCUUUUUAGAAGACACUCUAUGACACCAGAUCUGACGUCAACAUAGUGGCCGCAGUCACUUAUCAGCUCCUCCAUGGAACCAUGUCCCUACAACCAACAUACAUUCAGCUCCAGAUGAUUUUAAAGUUAUUGACAUGGGAGAAGACAAGUACGAUCCAUCCAUCAUCCUUAGGAGACCGUUCCUCAGCACUGUUAAAGCAAUCAUCUACAUUGGAACCGGAGAAGUCCACAUGCACUUCCCCUCUGAGAAGGUACGCUGCUAUUUUACUGACCCUAACUAUAUAGUUGAAGACUCUAAGCAGGUCAGGGCAAGAAGAAGACGACGCAACCGCAACCAGAGGAGGCAAAUCAUCAAGGACGGAUGGGCAGACUAUGAAGGAGAAGUCGUAAGAUCUGAAGACAUACAGCUUGAACAGAACUGUCCUGAGGAGACCGUAGCACCGAGUCAGGUGUGUAGAGAGAAGAUAGUUAUACACGAAGAGCAGGCUCUGCCGGAACCACCGACUAUGCCAUCCAGCAAAUCCCAGGACAACUGAGAAAAUGGAGAGUCCCGUUCGGAGGAUUUAAAAACAUCGAACGCCUUGCCAAGAGGUAAACUUGGUAGUUAUCCUUUUCCUUUCAAUUAUUUUAAAAUAGUUUGCUUAGUUAAUCAGGUUCAUAUCAUCUUGAAAAGAAAAUAAAAAUGUUAAAAAUAGUAAGCCCCAUAUGAGUAUCCUCAUGGCAUAAAACCCAUAAGUACAUUCACUGUGGUAGCAUAAAAACAAAAUAAAUAUAUUUAUGUGCUAUAAAAAUGAAAAUAUAAAAAUAAAUUUAUGAUCCUACCAAAGAGAGUAACAUUUAUUGAGGAGGCUCAACAUGAUAAAGGCUAGAUAUUUAUGCUAACACUUAACUAGUUCCACAAAGCUUUGUUGUCUAUUUGAGCUCCACAGAAUUAAAGGAUCAAAGAAGACUAGUUGACGGAGGACAUCCUAAUCAAUGUCAGGGUGCUGCCGACAUUCAAAUACACCUACGCCACCUGCUACAUCAAAAGGAAUUACGUCAAAAUCCAGCUUGGGGGAGAGCACCUCCAUUUAUCCAGCUAAGUAUUCUACUCACGUUUAUAUUUUACUCAAAUAAUAAAAAGAUGCAUAAUCAUAAAAACCCAAAUAAAUAUUUUGUGUUUAUAUAUAUAUAUCUUUGCUUAGUUUGCUAAAUAAAUAAAUAAAUAAAAUUUGCUAUGAACCCUCAUGAUAAGCUCUCACAUGGAAAGAUGAAUAGUUGCUCUGCCAUGACUAGUUCUCAAAAUUGAAAUCUCUCUCAAGUUUAGGCAUCACUGUUAUUAAUUAACAUUUGCUCUAAACCUGAACUUGUGGGAAGAGUACUUGAUCUAAAGUCUAAGUCGUUAACGGAUAUGAUAUGGGAAGGUUGAGCUGUUGUUUAUCUGUUCCUAGAGAUGCUAGAAUUCUGGAGAAUUUUAUCUUUGAAAAAUCUUUAAAAUAACACAUGAUGAGUUCCUGUAUGAUGAGAGAUUAAAAUCCUACCACAGCCAUAUAUACAUGCUUGCUAGACUUUGAGCCACAUAUUUACUUUUUACUGCUUAUGAGCAUUGAGUGUGGUCAAGCUGUGUAGACCCUUAGGAGCUUGUCAUGUGGUUCAGUCAAGAUUCACUUGCACGUUCACUCAUACAUGCUACUUCUACUCUGGAAGUACCAUCCACAUAUACCCAUUUCCAUCUCCAGAACCACCCAAAAAUAUUCUACUCCUAAUCCGGGAGAGAAUAGCCAAAAAUAUUUCUAUUUUUUCCCUGUGAAAUAAAUGCUCAAGAUAUCUUGUUACUACCACUUGCUAUAUUAUCUCAUGAGAUGAGUGCUCUCAAGAAAAAAAAGAGAAAAAAAAGUAUACGAGGAAAUAAAAAGGGGCAUGUGCCCGGAACCUCGAAAGAAAAGAAAAAGUGAGACGAGAGGUAAAAAUGGACAAGUGUCCGACAGUAGAAUUAGGGGUACAAGAUACCCACCUGAGAGAAAAGAAAAAAAAAAGAAAAAGAAAGAAAAAGAAAAUACAGAGCAUCUCAUUCUCCCUGAAAGUUUCAAAAGAGCAAGAAAGGUAUGUAUCGCCUCAAAAGAGCACAAGUAGAAUUAGACUUUCACCAUUGUUAUCACCAUCAUCACUAUAUACUAUUCAUUCGCCACACAUGCACAUCUUGAUUUGACUUAUUGACUUGUUCUUCUGGAUCCAUGGUUUGACUAUGCAAUAAAUGUCUUGUAAGUAUGUAUUAGCUGUCUCCCACCUAUGAGCUCCAGAUAUCAAAGCCUUAUUAGAGUAGGGUGAGAGAGAAGGCAAUGUCACUAUGCCUUAUACUACAAAUACCACAUACUUUGAGAGAAGGCAUAUACCAUUACUGCCUUGGUAAGGAUCCAGAAAUACCUCAAAAGAGAGACUAGAGAGAGUCAUACAAGGAAUCUCUGAGUUUUAUUUGAAAGUCUGCAAAAACUCCAGAGCUAUAGCUGAUCAAGAAUAAGAGACAUGGUGCUUGAUUAGACCGUUCUAUCUUUUAACUACUCAAGACAGAAGUGACGGUUACAAGUCCCAUGGUGAAAGGUAAAUGAGUAAGUUUUAAGUCUUAACAGUUUACUCUAACCAGAGAUGAGAUCUUGUUUAAACGCAUGUGUAUCUUUAAGUUAUGAAACCACUGCAGAAACUCUUGAGUUCAUCUUUGCUCAGGGACGAGCAAAGGUUAAGCUUGGGGGAGCUUGUUGACGGUCCUUAAUGCUCACAUUUAACCAUCAAUUAAUCAUGGAAAAGGAUCCAAAUGCAACCAACACCCAGACUUAGGGUUUUAUCUGACAGAAUUCCACGAGUUUUGGUGUUUGUCUAUUUCUGCAGGGGGUUAUCAGGAAAUAUGGAAGAAAGGCCCACACGUCGGGUUUACAUAGAGAUAUUAACGUGUCGUGCAAUUUUCUAUCAUCUAGAAGACUCCAGAAGCCACGGGACCGAAGCAAAAGCCGAGAGGCCUCAGGGACAGGGCGCCCGCCCACCUCUUUCCACCAAUCAGGGUGAAGUUCGGGGAUCAUGCUCCACCGACCUAAUACUUCAAGGAAAACCACACGAUCAAUGUCAGUUUGAUCCGACGGCCCAGAUUCACUUGAAGGGACUAUAAAACCAGACCCCCUGGCCCCUGGAGAGCAUACCUCUUCUACAGAAUCAAAGUUAGGGUUUCAAUUCUUCAUCCAAGUAGAGAGGAUCCCUCUAGUUCUUCUAGUUCUACCUCUAGUUCAUCUAGAUCUAGUUCUAGUUCAUCUAGUUCUAGUUCUAGUUCCUCUAGUUCUAGUUCUAGUUAGUUCUAGUUGUAAUCUAGAAAAUAGGGAGAGAGAAGAGGAGAGCGGAGGAGGAGCCGGAUCUGUCGGAUCUUCCUCAACAUUAUACUUUUGCAGCAUCUGGUUCGUUCUUCAUCGUUCUCCAGGUUCUUCAAUUCAUAAUCCUGAGUUCUUUAAUUACUUUUAUUUACAUUCAAGUUAUUUAUUGGAUUCCCGCUUGCAUCAAGUGCUCUAGUCUUUAUAACGCUAGAGUAGUAAUUAAUAGAUUAGACGUGGUGUUUAGUCUUGCGAUUACCUGGAAUUGCACCCAAUCCUACGGAUUGUUGUGGUAGCCUUAGGGUAGUUACAGCCCUAACGGUCGACGUAUUCCACCACGUUCGGAUCGGUGUUUGUAGGACCGUACUCAGACCUUCCUAGCCCCCUUCUCAUCUCUUUCUGUGGUUAGUGCUCUGAUGUCCCGAUAUAGAUAAUCUUGAAGUAAUUCUUGAUUCUUAGAUCAACUAGAGAACUCUCAGGAAACUUCCUCUCUUCCCACCAAAAAUACUUAUAUAGUUAUCCUUGGGCGAUCUUGAUUCUUAAUUAGUACACUCACGUUCCCUGUGGAAAAUCGAUACUCUGGAAUACUCCCGGGUGAAGGCUACAUCGGUAUCCGUGCGCUUGC